UUAAAAAGUUAUAAUUUAGUAGAUCGACCGGAGUUAAAAAGACACGACCUUCCUCAUCAUCCAAUCAAACUUCUGUUAUCUAUUUAUCCAUCGCUUUUAUGAAAAUGUCCAUUUUUUAAGAAUAAAAUUAAAUGUUUUAACAUUUUUGAAAUUCUAUGGAUCGGUCACUCACCUGGACCUGAAACCAAAGCAAGAUUUUUUUUUCGAUUCCACUGAAUGUCGCGAUGUUGUCGCCGGACGUUGGGGAUAUCUUGGAGAAGUCGAGGGAUGUAGAUCGGUUGAGGAAGGAACAGGAGGAGGUUCUCAUUGUAAUCAACAAAAUGCACAAGAAGUUUCAAGCCAGUGUCAGCCAGGAUGACAGAUGGUGACAAGGACAAAUGGUUUGUUGUAAAAGUAAUGCAUUUUCAUAGAGAAACAAGAGAAUUUGAAGUACUGGAUGAGGAGCCAGGUGAUGAUGAAGUUGUCUCAACUAGUAAUUUAGAAGUCAAUAUUUGGUUCUUCACUCGAGUCUUGAUCUUGUAUCAGAAAUAAUCAAGUUCAGUGAUGUUCAUUUAUGUCAUUGCUAAGUUCAGAAAGUACAAGUUGCCAAUGUCAUGCAUAAUACCUUUCCCGAAGAGAAAUGAUCCUUCUAGCGUUCUGGAAUUUGCACCAGGGAGACAUGUUUUAGCUGUUUAUCCGGGAACAACUGCCCUCUACAAGGCAACUGUUGAAAAUACACCACUUAAGAGAAAGAGCAAUGAUUAUUUGCUGGAAUUUGAUGACGAGGAGGAAGAUGGAGCCUUGCCUCAGAGGACAGUUCCAUUCCACAGGGUGGUCGCUUGGCCAGAAGAUCGCCACUGAUUAUUAUUGUCUAUAAUUGUGUAUAAAUUUAUAGCUUGUGUUAUUCAAUAUACUAUAUAACCUUUACACUAAAAUUUUUGCUAGGUAAUGUAGUAGGAGGAUUUGUAAUCCAAAUCUUUUAUGUUAUUCUGUUAUAUGACCUAUUCAUUAAACUCAAAAAACCUUUCAAAAACACCUUUACAAUUUACAAA